rnacentral:rRNA from 1 species
UACAGAGGGUGCAAGCGUUGUUCGGAAUUACUGGGCGUAAAGCGCGUGUAGGCGGCUAAGUAAGUCGGGCGUGAAAUCCCACGGCUCAACCGUGGAAGUGCACUCGAAACUGCGUAGCUAGAGUCCUGGAGAGGAAGGUGGAAUGCUUGGUGUAGAGGUGAAAUUCGUAGAUAUCAAGCGGAACACCGGUGGCGAAGGCGGCCUUCUGGACAGUGACUGACGCUGAGACGCGAAAGCGUGGGGAGCAAACAGG